CCGUGGGCGCCCCAGACUCCUCGUCCCGGGGUGCUCCCUCUGCAUUCAGCGAAGCUGGAACCCCCACCCCGGCCCCCCGCGGUCCUCCGGGGCUCCGGGACCCUCCAGGUGCACCCCACGCUGAACUGGCCCCGGAGUGGCGGGUCCCUAAAAGUGAGUGAAAACAGAAAGUUCAUUCAUGAGGAGGAAGAUUGACACCCAGAUAUCUGGAUGACUCGUGACAGGACGGAAGAGUGAGCUCGGAGACAUCCAGGGAGCCUCACAGCGCGCACGAGACCAACCUAAUCAACGCAAUGAGUGCCACUUCAGCAUGCUUCACUUCAGACUAUGUCCAGAGACUUCAGGUGUGGAAUGACAACCCUUCAGCUUCAUAUUCAGCCACCAGGUUCAGAUGCCAGCAUGAUGCUGACCAGACUUCCCUGGACAGACGACCCCACCAAUAUGUCCUGGAGCUCUGCUUCCCCAGAGACCCACCCUACUAGGGAAAGAGAGAGGCAGACUGGGAGUAUGGAUCAACCUGUCAACGCCCAUGUUCAGCAGGGAAGUAAUUACAGAAGCCAGACCUUCCACCUUCUGCAUCCCACAAAGACCCUGGGUCCAUACUCCCAGAGGGUUAAAGAAAAGGAAAGCUAUCAGGGGAGGGGAUGGGAUACGGAGAUCUGGUGGUGGGAAUUGUGUGGAGUUGUACCCCUCCUAUCCUAUGGUUUUGUUAAUGUCUCCUUUUUUAAAUAAAUAAAUAAAUAAAAAUUUUAA